GGGUUUGAUUUUUCAUGGGAGGGAAGCCUGAGCCUUCUGACCUCCAGGGUGGAUUGACAUUGACCUCUUAUCUCAUGGUGAAACAGGAAGACAAGUCACACUUUGGUUCCUCCAUGAAAGUAGGGGAUGAAAACACUGCCACGUAAAGAAUUUGAAUUCAAAACAUCGACAUGAGCCGCUUUGACUGUACCAAGUAGCUAGUGUGCUUAUGCAUAAUUGCUGUUUGAUUCUCUAUUUAAUACGCAGGCCAGGCCGCGCAUGUGCUAGCUUCGUUCACGUUGACAAUCUCGAGUUGUAAAUGUAAAUUAGUAAUACCUGACAAACGGAUUGGUUAAUAAUCGUAUUAGUCGGGAACCGUGGGAUGCAGCGCUUUGUUUAUCGAAAAAUUAAGGUCCUCAACUUUGAGACGAAGAGCAGAGCGAUAGGUGAUAAGAACCCCUUCUUUUGAUUUCUCUCGGUCCUCUCACUGCCUCCAUCUGUUACUUUCUCCCCUCUUCCCUUCCAUCUUCCUCCGCCAUAGGGCCUCUGUUCAGCGUCUUCUACGACGAGAAUAGAGGAGUUGCAGCAACGGUGCACCUCUCUUAUUCUUGAUGCUCACCAACUGUGUUUAUCAGAUCUGACAAAGCACAACACCAGAUGAUACGAUAUGCUACCACCCGCAGGGGAGAGGGCCAGAGUAAGCAAGAUGGCAUCGAAAAAGAAGCUGUUCAAUCCGAUCAAGAGAUUAAGGUGUAAAAACUUGUUCUUAACAUUUCUGUCGGUGAGAGUACUGAUUGCCUUACUAGAGCAGCUAAGGAUUUGGAGCAACUCAAUGGUGAAACUCCAGUUUUCUCUAAAGCUACUGUGCGGUCAUUUGGUAUCCGUUGUAAUGAGAAAAUUGCUUGUUAUGUCAUGGUUAGAAGUGAAUAGGCUAUGCAGAUGCAGCUUCUAGAUUGAUGUAUUUGCAUAAAUCCAGAAGUACUUUUUCGUUUUUACCUUCUCAAUAAACUUGGUUCCUUCUUAGAACUAA